rnacentral:rRNA from 1 species
CCCACGGGAGGCUACAGUGGGGAAUAUUGGACAAUGGGGGCAACCCUGAUCCAGCCAUGCCGCGUGUGUGAAGAAGGCCCUCGGGUUGUAAAGCACUUUCAGUGAGGAAGAACGCCUGGUGGUUAAUACCCAUCAGGAAAGACAUCACUCACAGAAGAAGCACCGGCUAACUCCGUGCCAGCAGCCGCGGUAAUACGGAGGGUGCGAGCGUUAAUCGGAAUUACUGGGCGUAAAGCGCGCGUAGGUGGCUUGAUAAGCCGGUUGUGAAAGCCCCGGGCUCAACCUGGGAACGGCAUCCGGAACUGUCAAGCUAGAGUGCAGGAGAGGAAGGUAGAAUUCCCGGUGUAGCGGUGAAAUGCGUAGCGAUCGGGAGGAAUACCAGUGGCGAAGGCGGCCUUCUGGACUGACACUGACACUGAGGUGCGAAAGCGUGGGUAGCAAACAGGAUUAGAUACCCGGGUAGUC